UGCUCACAUCAUGUUGAAACACAUGUUCCCAUACGAUCACUGAAGUUAAGCAACGUUAAGCCUGGUCAAUACGUAGAUGGGUGAUUGUUUCGAAUUACCAGGUGCUGUAAG